UUUGGCUUUCAGUACAUCAUAAACAGAAGGCGGCAGUGGAAUUUUUUUCAAGAGAAAUUGCACCAGCAGGGACUGGAAUGGGUUGAUAUCCACAUUAAUGGAGAACAUGUUGAAACCUUUCAGGAAGAUCUCACCCUUACACUGGACACAUUGAUUCCACCAAACUUACCCAAGAUAGAUGAUGACCUAAAAGAUAUGAAUUGCCAGGAACAUAUGCAUUAAACUUUGUUUUGAAAAAUUGCCUUGGUGGUGGAGGCAUUGCCUCACUGAGAAGUGACUCACAGGGCAAAACAGUUGGACAAAUGGUACUGGACUUCCAGAUUAAAGGCGUUCCUGAUUUAAAGUCAUUAGUAGAUGGAUAAAGAGCUUUGGCAUUGGGAAACUUAUUGUUUCUUAGUACAAAUGAAAAAUUGAAUCCAAGGUAAAAGGAUGUAGAAAAUACGCAUUAUAAGUAAACACCCACUUGGGUGGAUUGAAUACCAGCAUUAAUAAUGUGGUCACUGGAAAGUAGAAGAGAGUAGGUGAUUUUUAACACAGAACUAUAAACAGUAAAGAUUUAACAUAUGA